UAAAUACUUCCUCCAUCACAAAAUGCUUGUCAUAUUAAUGGAUGUAUCUAGAUGUAUUUUAGUUCUAGAUACAUUCAUUUGUAUCCAUUUGUGUGAUAAGUAAUUCCGAACGAAGGGAUUAUAAU
rfam:Hordeum vulgare subsp. vulgare, WGS project CAJW01000000 data, contig: morex_contig_1604723